GCAGAAUUCUGCGAUAAAUCAUUCAAGUUUCUGCCCUAUCAGCUUUGGAUGGUAGUGUAUUGGACUACCAUGGCAGUCACGGGUAACGGAGAAUUAGGGUUCGAUUCCGGAGAGGGAGCCUGAGAAACGGCUACCACAUCUACGGAAGGCAGCAGGCGCGCAAAUUGCCCAAUCCUGACACGGGGAGGCAGUGACAAGAAAUAACAACUCUUGGAUUUCUAAGAAGUGUAAUGAGGAUAAUUUACAACCCUUACCGAAAGCAAUUGGAGGGCAAGUCUGGUGCCAGCAGCCGCGGUAAUUCCAGCUCCAAUAGCGUAUAUUAAAGUUGUUGCAGUUAAAAAGCUCGUAGUUGAAGUUCUGAUUGUUCGGGCCUCGCGCUUUAUAGCCGAGGAAUCGACAGUCAUCCGCUUGCAAAUAUAUGUUCGCCUUUAACCGGGUGGCUAUAUGAGUAAGCAAUUUACCUUGAGAAAAACAGAGUGUUCCAGGCAGGUUUGUCCGGAAUGCAUUAGCAUGGAAUAAUAGAAUAUGACUGAAGUCAAUUUAUUGGUUUAAGGCUUAGUAAUGAUUAAUAGGAACAGUCGGGGGCAUUGGUACUUAACAGUCAGAGGUGAAAUUCUAGGAUUUGUUAAAGACUAACAAAUGCGAAAGCAUUUGCCAAGGAUGUUUUCAUUAAUCAAGAACGAAAGUUAGGGGAUCAAAGACGAUCAGAUACCGUCCUAGUCUUAACUAUAAACUAUACCGACUCGGAUUCAGAUGAAUCAAAAAGUUCAUUUGGGACCGUAGGAGAAAUCAAAGUUUUUGGGUUCUGGGGGAAGUAUGGUCGCAAGGCUGAAACUUAAAGGAAUUGACGGUUUUGCACCACCAUGGAGUGGAGUUUGCGGCUUAAUUUGACCCAACACUGGGAAACUCAUCAGGGCAAGAAGAUUUUAGGAUUGACAGAUUGAGAGUUCUUUCUUGAUUGGUCUAGUGGUGGUGCAUGGCCGUUCUUAGUUGGUGGAGUGAUUUGUCUGGUUAAUUCCGUUAACGAACGAGACCUUAACCUGCUAACUAGUAUCUAUAUCCCAAAUAUAGACUACUUCUUAGAGGGACUAUGUGAUGUAAUCACAUGGAAGUUUGAGGCAAUAACAGGUCUGUGAUGCCCUUAGAUGUCCUGAGCUGCACGCGUACUACAAUGGCACUUUCAACGAGCAUUUCCUGAUCCGAAAGGAUUUGGGUAAUCUUUUUAGUGAGUGCCGUGAUUGGGAUAGAUCUUUGUAAUUAUGGAUCUUGAACUA
rnacentral:rRNA from 1 species